AGAAAUCGGAAUAAUAUCAUAGAAAAUUAAUACACCAAGUGAGGGGCAUGGGCUGCCUAAGCUUUCUCUUCUCCUCCUUUUCAUGUGUUGUGGAACUGCAAGCCUUCGGAAACCAUUUUAUUUUGCGAAAGCAUAACAAUACAAGUUUAUUUGAUUUUCGCUGAAAUGAACCGCCAAGGCUAUUUUUUGCCCCGUCACCCAUUAAACUAACCUUGCUGGAAAAGAGAGAGAGAGAGAGACAACGUCGGAAGGGUUGUCUUACAUUCACGCAGACGAGACCACUAUCCACACAAAAGUGGGCACGCAGGUGAGAUUGAACCCAAGACCUCUCCCAAAAAAAAAUCUUUGGGUGCCUCAAAUUUGUCACUUGAGCUAUGCCUCAUUGGCGAUUUUCGCAAAAAUGUUUUUGCGACUUGACCCUAGCUAGUAUAAAAUAAAAGAAGCAAACAUGAGUUAUGUUCCUGCCAUGCCCCCACAUGCAUAGCAUAUAGAGGUGAUCUUGAGAAGGACCACUCACCUUCCUAAUUCUCCCCAACAAAAAAAACAGGACAAUAUAAAAUACGGAGUAUUCAUUACGCAGUCAGGUAUAAAUGUACGUAUCUGGCAUGCAUGGGAGAGCUAUUAACUUUGUCCAACCCUCGGUGGUUACUCUAAAUAUCAAGUAAUUUAUUUUCAACUUUCUCG
rnacentral:lncRNA from 1 species